CAGCAGCCGCGGUAAUACAGAGGGUGCGAGCGUUAAUCGGAUUUACUGGGCGUAAAGCGUGCGUAGGCGGCUUCUUAAGUCGGAUGUGAAAUCCCUGAGCUUAACUUAGGAAUUGCAUUUGAUACUGGGAAGCUAGAGUAUGGGAGAGGAUGGUAGAAUUCCAGGUGUAGCGGUGAAAUGCGUAGAGAUCUGGAGGAAUACCGAUGGCGAAGGCAGCCAUCUGGCCUAAUACUGACGCUGAGGUACGAAAGCAUGGGGAGCAAACAGGAUUAGAUACCCCCGUAGUCCCUGUCUCUUAUAC
rnacentral:rRNA from 1 species